AUGAACUUCAAUAACUAAGGUCUUACUUUCACUAACUUAGGUCCUAACUUGACUAGCAUAGGU
rnacentral:sRNA from 1 species